rnacentral:rRNA from 1 species
GACGAACGCUGGCGGCGUGCUUAACACAUGCAAGUCGAACGGUGACCCAGGGCUUGCCCUGGUGAUCAGUGGCGAACGGGUGAGUAACACGUGGGCAACCUGCCCCUGACUUCGGGAUAACUCCUCGAAAGAGGAGCUAAUACCGGAUACGACCACUUCGGGCAUCCGAUGGUGGUGGAAAGUUUUUCGGUCAGGGAUGGGCCCGCGGCCUAUCAGCUAGUUGGUGGGGUAAUGGCCUACCAAGGCGACGACGGGUAGCCGGCCUGAGAGGGCGACCGGCCACACUGGGACUGAGACACGGCCCAGACUCCUACGGGAGGCAGCAGUGGGGAAUAUUGCGCAAUGGGCGAAAGCCCGACGCAGCGACGCCGCGUGAGGGAUGAAGGCCUCGGUGUAACCUCUUCAGCAGGACGAAGCGAAAGUGACGGUACCUGCAGAAGAAGCACCGGCUAACACGUGCCAGCAGCC